AGGUCAUGUGAGAUCGGCUGGGAAAUGCUAUAAAAAGGGCAAGUGCAAAGCAGGACAGCGAGAAUUUGAGGGCAUAUGUGUCCCAGUUUAUGAUAAGCCGGUACCAACUCGAACCAAAGACGGUAAGGUACAGGGUCAGUGUGAGUUCCCGUUCAUCUACCAGAAGCAGAU